UUGACGUUUGACUAAUUCAGUAGAAGUAUGGCCAUGGAUAAAUUCCAUUUUGAGGCAGUAGUUUCUCCAAUGUACACAUUGAAAGAUGAAAGAACUUUCUCAAAGAUUCGCAAAGCAAACAGAAAAGCAUACGUGCUUGAAGCUAAAUAUUGGAUCGGGGGCCGACUAGCUUAGUUGCCUGGACAGCUGGUUUGCAAUACAGACUAAAGCCAACAGUGUGGCUUUAAUUCCUGCACCAGCUGAGGUCUCCAGGAGAAACUCUCCAUCUCAACUCUGAACUCAGGACCCUCGGUGACCCUUCGGUUAAACUCACCAUCACUCAUCUCUUUCUAAUGAAGAAAACAGCCCUAUGAUUUGCUGAAAUUACGGUGACUUUACUUAUAAAUUAAUGUAAGUAAGCCAUUUUAGAAAAGAAGUACAUCUAUUAUUCAAAAUACUUCAGAAGCUUGUAAUCUGAAACAAUAGUAAAAAAUCUCACUAGGGUUAGCACCAUUUGUAGAGAUAGGAAAACCGAGUUUGUGUUUGGGUCAUACAUAACUUCUUCAAAUCUGAAUUGAGGUCGAAAUAUAGAAACAUUUGGUGCUAGAAACAUUUCGAGCAAAACUAGCAACUGUCAAACAUUUAUUGAAAUUUGUUUCAUCCGCAUAGUAUGUCACAUGUAGUCCCUUUCAUGAUUUUCUAAAAAGGAUAUAACAGGCACCUGGAGAUAGUUCUGUCAGGAUUUACAUGUUUGAGACUAAAAAUCCUUAAGUGUACACAUCAGGAUUGGAUUAACAUUUGAGUUUAUUUUCACUUCAGUAAAGAAGACUAAAGGGUGAUCCAUACACGGAUGUAAAAUUCAUAGAUGUUUUGACAACUUGGACAGACAGCAUGUUUUCACUUCAGGGAGAUGGUGGAAAUGUCACUGGACUAGCGAGCCAGUGGCUCAUGCUGUUGCUCCAGGAACAAAUUCUCAAAUCUCAUCCUGUGAGCUCGUGAAAUAGAAAACUCAAUUAAUAAAUCUGCAGCAUAAAUGUAAUGUCAGUGAUGACUGUGACAAGUGUUAUUGAUUGUUGUGAAAACCUAUGUGGUUCACUUGUGUCCUUUCAGGAAGAAAAUCUGCCAUCCUUACCUAGCUGGCCUGAAUAUGUCUCCAGACCAGUAGAUGUGUGUCUGAUUUGUAACUGCACUCUGAAAUUACUGAACAAGCAAUUCUGUUCAAGAGCAAUUAGGCUUGGACAGCAAUGCCGUCCCUGUCAGCAUCACCUAUAUCCACGUAAAACGCUAUGGAGAAAAUAAAUGGAGAAAAUCAAUACAAGAUACUCAGGAAAAAAAACAGUCAUGAACAAAAUUGUGGAACAAGAGAAAGUGUGAUUCAAUAUUAUAAUUGCAAUUAAAGGGAAGCUCGGUACGAUUGAACUUAAUAGAAGGGUAUAAUGACAAAUUAUUUGUAAUUGCUUUCAGACAAGAGAGCACACUAUUCAAUUCAGGUCUUCAGUAAUUUGAGACAUUGUGUGGGAAAUGUACCAUUUUUGGAUGGAACAGGUGACUUUCGGCCUAAGAUGUCUGAAGCUGUUUCCUAAUAUGUUCAUGCAUCAUAUCUAGAUUUGUUGUACGCCAGUGAUUAAAAUGGAUUACUUGAUUAGAUUAAAUAAUUUAAAUUUCCAGGCAGAAAGAAAGUGAAAUUAGAUGGAUCUGAUCUUUUCUCAUGCAGCAACUUCUAUUUUGGUAAGGUAGAUAACAUUGCUGGAUUGGAAACAAUCGGAUUUUUCUUGCUGACUGUAGCAAUGCUGAUGGUUUUAUCGAUUACGACGAGCUGAUUGAGGUCCUCAAGGGUUCUGGGGAGCAUGUUACAGAGGAGGAAAUUCAUGAACUCAUGAUGUUGUACGACAAUAACAAUGAUGGCAAAAUUGACUUUGAUGGUAUGUACAAAUAAAAAAAACCAUUGGCAAUGUU